rnacentral:rRNA from 1 species
AGUGAACGCUGGCGGUAGGCCUAACACAUGCAAGUCGAACGGCAGCACAGUAAGAGCUUGCUCUUACGGGUGGCGAGUGGCGGACGGGUGAGGAAUAUAUCGGAAUCUACUUUUUCGUGGGGGAUAACGUAGGGAAACUUACGCUAAUACCGCAUACGACCUACGGGUGAAAGCAGGGGAUCUUCGGACCUUGCGCGAUUGAAUGAGCCGAUGUCGGAUUAGCUAGUUGGCGGGGUAAAGGCCCACCAAGGCGACGAUCCGUAGCUGGUCUGAGAGGAUGAUCAGCCACACUGGAACUGAGACACGGUCCAGACUCCUACGGGAGGCAGCAGUGGGGAAUAUUGGACAAUGGGCGCAAGCCUGAUCCAGCCAUACCGCGUGGGUGAAGAAGGCCUUCGGGCUGUAAAGCCCUUUUGUUGGGAAAGAAAAGCAGCAGGUUAAUACCCCGCUGUUCUGACGGUACCCAAAGAAUAAGCACCGGCUAACUUCGUG